rnacentral:lncRNA from 1 species
UUUGAGACUAAAUUCAUUUAGAGAGAUAUAGAUCUUUCUGUAUUCGAGUUCGAAUAUUCAACAUUCGAUUCCGUAUCUAUAUCUGAAUACUUAAAUCUUAUAUUUAUAAUGUCGGCAUCUAAUCAUAUCUUAUUUAACAUGGUUGACACUAUCCGUAUUUGAAUCCGAUUUCGACCAGAAAUAUGAAAACAAAUAUGAUAUCGAUUGAUAUCCACCCGCAUUUGAUCUGUUUUCAUCUCUAAUCUCCAAUAUUGUGAUGGCUACCUAUGUACUCGCUCCUCACUCCAUCAAGUCUUUUUAUUUUGCGAACGGGGUUAGAACUCGUGUUUUAUUAAGACGAAAGGUGGUUUUUUGUUACAACCGUUUGUUAGACCUGCUACAUCAACUCGGUUGCGAGAGGCAUCAAGAGUAUACAAUUAUAAAUCUAUAAAUCUACUACUAUAUAUAGUCCAAACUAAGUCAAAACUACUUCAAUUUUGACUUCCUUCCAAGUGUCUGGAUCGUUGGCUAGCUUAAGGUGACUUGGAGACGAUGAUGAAUUGGUGGUUGUGUUUGCCACUAGAGUGGGGAUUAGAGACAUCAAUAGUGGAGAUCUGUGCCAACUGCCAAGCAAGUAUGGGAGGAGAGCUGCCUUGUAAUAGGUUUAUCAUCUAAUUGGUAUAGAACUUACUGCCAUUGGAUUUCUUUUUUUCUUUAUUUUUUGCGAGGAACCGCCAUUGGAUUUCAAUCUUUUAGCUUUUUGUAACUUUGCCAUUUUGCAGGAUGAUGUAAAGGUAACAAGGAUUAAUUGGUUGAAUACGUAGCCCAUAAAGAGUCCGGAAACAGAACUAUUCUUUUUCUGAAAAGAAAUUAAGCCCUACCAGCUUCAAUUCCUUGAUGAAAGUCCAACACUUGACCGAAGCGGUUUUUUUUCCCUUAACGGCAUAUGCCCUCAAUCUCCCACCCAU